GAUGAACGCUAGCUACAGGCUUAACACAUGCAAGUCGAGGGGCAGCACAGUGUAGCAAUACAUGGGUGGCGACCGGCGCACGGGUGCGUAACGCGUAUCCAACCUUCCCGAUACUCAGGGAUAGCCUUCCGAAAGGGAGAUUAAUACCUGAUGGUGUUCAAAUUCCGCAUGUUGUUUGAACUAAAGAUUUAUCGGUAUCGGAUGGGGAUGCGUGACAUUAGAUAGUAGGCGGGGUAACGGCCCACCUAGUCUACGAUGUCUAGGGGUUCUGAGAGGAAGGUCCCCCCACACUGGAACUGAGACACGGUCCAGACUCCUACGGGAGGCAGCAGUGAGGAAUAUUGGUC
rnacentral:rRNA from 1 species